UGGAAUUGAAGGGGAGACUUGGUAUGGAAGGGCAAACCAAGAUUGACAAGUACCACAUCACGAAAAAAUGUUUAUAACAGAUAUAGAAGUGACAAUAAACAAGUUUUUCAAGAUUUACAAUGAACUACAUGAUUUGGCUUCUUGCUCUAAAAAGAAAUCUGCAGCACUAACUUGGUGACAAUCCCACCAAUUCAACGACAAUGGACAUAUUUUCUAUGCUUCACUCCUUUGCGGCUUGUACAGUCAAAGGGCUACGACCAUCAUUGCAGAAAAGGAAAAAAUUAACAAUAGUUCUUGCAUGAAUGAGUCAUCAGGUAAUCAUGUGAGUCUACUAUACAUAAACUAUAGGCAAAACUUAGCAACAAAGGUAACAUGCGUAGUGAGAAACUGGAUAACAGAAGGAAUACUUUCAACCAAGUCUAGAGGAACACAUACUACGCCCAGGAACUUUUCAGUGAUAUAACAAUGCAACUAUUCAUAGCAACAAAAUUUAUACAGAAAAGGGAGAUACUCCUACUCAAACAACAACAACAACAAAGCCUUUAUUUCCAAACACUCCUACUCAACCUCCCUAAAAUUUAACCGGAUUUCAUCUGAUAACCUAGAGGCCAGCUGGAGAUUGAGCAAUAUUGGAAUAUACAUAUAUAUAUUUCAAACAAAUUAAUGAACUGGGAUGAACGGAUCUCAGAAGGAUAGCCUCACUUGGGGCUUUGGAACUUGAGUAUCUCCAUGGCUAAUCAAAGCUUAGAGAGGCAGCAGUUAAAGCAUCAGUCGAGUUAAGGUAUGCCGCUAUCAAUCCUUCUUUUAGUAACCUGAACACGAUGUUAGUAAUGCCAAGGCAAAUACCUUGAUACCCUAUUCAUGUUCAUCUCGUUACUGAAAAAUAAAUGUAAAACUGGCCUGCAAGAUAAAAGCAUUUUUUUCGAGAAAACGCAAAUGGCUUUUGCGUUUCAUUGCAUUGGAAAGAAAGGGUAAUUUACAUCCUCCUAGAAUUUCGAUAAAAGCAUUUCCCAGUACCUGAAUGUACAACCUGGGAUACUGGGAAUACCGCUGGAUGAAAUUAUAGUGCAAACUCCAGAUCUUAUAAAUUUUAAUACAUUCAACAACUAAGACUUUGAGCCAUGAGAUUAUAUGUCAAUAGUUACAUUUAAGCUUGUGAGAGCAUAAAUCAAUCAUAAAAAGGCAGAAAGAAUAAGCUCCAGAACGCAAUAAGGGCUUAAACUACUUAUUUGAAAACAGUGAAACAACUCAUUAAAUCUAACUAAUUUUAAAUGAUCCAGUUUUAAGAAUUAAUAUGGUACAACUAAGAGAAGGCUACAAAAUCAUCAAUCAAGAAGACUAUAUAAAAUUGAUGAUUAGAGACAACUGCCACUGAUUGGUCACAUACCAUGGUCGACAUGAGCAAUGACAGACAUGUUAUGGAUAAUUUUUUAUCCAUAAUUCCACGGAGAUCCUCCGUUCUAAACCUCACCGUUUUGACUGCUUUUGAAUGUCACACCAGGAAUACCCUUCCUGCUCUAAUAAUAGCAAGCUAUCAGAAUCAAGCAAUAAUAUAGCAUGAAUAACUGAACAUGGAAAAUCCGACAGUAAUAUGUACUAACGAUCCUUUAAAGUAAUUAUGACCACAGUUGUCUACUCAAAGCUCAAAAGUGCACUUAACAAUAGUGUACAACAAUUAGUUUUAUACACUGCCACCAAAAUAUUUUAACCAACACUUCGACCAAUAGCCACGGUGAAGUGAAAUAUAUAAUUAAUAUGGUCCAUCGAGCAUAUUAUAUUAAUGUAUUAGAACUAAUAAAAGUGCACUGAGAAGGCAGCCAUAAAGCAAGAAUAACCACUGUUAAGGGCACUGACGAUCACAGUAAUGAGAAAAAGUAACACAUGGCAAUAACAAAGAAACGUAAUCCAUUAUGAAGAGAGGAUGCAGGUGGAAAGAAACGUAAUCCAAAAAAAUAAGACUAAUAUAGACAAGCCUCCAAAACUAAUACUACUAUUGACACACCUCUGACACUAAGACUAUAUAGACAAGCCUCCAAAAGUAAGACUAAUGGAACACGAAGUAGUACCUCCUGUAAUUUCUUCAAUCUAAUUCCCUUUGAUUCUAUGGGAAAAGGUUGCAACAAGAGGAAUAACCUGCAGAAAUAGAUAGAUCAAAUGUUGUAAAAGUCAAAAAAAGUUACUGCUAGCCAUAGUGCAUACAUUCUAUCUCUUAUUGUACUUUUUGCAGCAUACUACAACUCAGAGCAGAUACAUGACAUAUUAUGGUAAUGCCACAAUGGUUAUUAUCGACUGGAAUGAGUUGUCCAGAUUUUUACUGGUAAAACAAUUCAGUUUACAUGCAACUAAGAAAAUUUUAUAAGCAAAUGUUGUACUGAUAUCAUGGUGGCGCAAGCAUAGAAGUUGUUACAGAGUGGAAAGAACAGUCUAGAUUUUCAGUACUGAAUAUGUCCGUCUAGCAUCGCAAAAAGCUACAGUUAAGCCUCUCGCAUGCUAAUUAUCUAUGUUGAAGCCGGUAGAAAACCUACACUUACAAUGGCACGUAGAAAAACAAUGGAAUGUAGCUUUUUGCAAUGCGAGAGGCUUAACUGUAGAAAACCUACACUUACAAUGGCACAUAGAAAAACUACUGCAGUUGAAGGACUCACCGCCACCACAAAAGGCGAGAAAAUAGAAGCUUCAGCUAGCACCGAGUCAUAAUAUUAUAGUAGAUAGCUCCAAGAAGAAAUAGAUUAUAUGUACUUUGAGUCGCCACUAAGUUGUGGGUUGCUGUCUAGCGGCCACAACUUCCCUUUGAGCCGCCAUAGCCACUGUUUCCACACGUGUAGGUUGCUGCUGCCAACAACUCUUAUUUAUCUGCACCCUCCUUUUUACAAAAGAAUAUAAGGUUUAGUGGUUUAAACAUUUACUUCCUCAAAUAGUCCAAUACUAAUUGCUUCAAAUGACAAGUGCUAUCUUUCAAUCCCCCCUUCCUAGUCAAGAGGUAGCUCAUCACACUGGAACUGCUUUAGGGCUCAUAGCCUAAUGCUAGAGACAAGCAAAAUUUGUUCUUGUUAAAUUCUCAGCAAACAACUGUGAAAUGCCGCCUGAGCACUUCUACUGAGGGGCUCCAAACCCCAGGCCCCCAACUUCAUUUCUGAAUUUGAGUUCAGUAGCAUGUCGUCAUCCUCAUGAGCACUCCCGUCCAGGUACAUAAAGAAGAAAAACAGUGACACUUACAUUAGGAAAUACCUACAGGAUCCAUGUGUAAAGGUAGUGAGGCAAUUGAAAUUGGCCCAAAAGACAUAACUUCAGUGCUGGAAGAGCCGCAUUGUCGACCACACUCUGAGUCUUGGCUGCUUGAUCCAUCCCAUUGUGGUCGUUGGUGCUGAUAGAAAGUUAGAUAAAAAUUGUGAACAAAAAUAAGUAAAAUCCCCUCUUCUGGACAAAGUAAAAUAAGAACCUCUGCUAUUCUAAUGUACAUACAUGCAACCAAAACUCUGAGAAAUACUCAUAACAACAUUGAUCAACAGUUCUUGAAAGACAUUCCAGAUUUUUGAACAACUACAGGCCAUUAAUUAUUAAUGAUAUCCAGAAGUUGUAAGCCCAUGGUACUCCUACUAUCUCACGACUAACUAUAUCCGAGCAUUUAUUCAUAGAUCAUGCAUACUCAUACUAUUUUUAUGUACAGAAUCAUGCUAUAUCUUUGUUAAAUCAAUUCCAAUGCAUGCACAUGCACAAGUCUGAACUAAACAACAUAUAUGAUGCAUGAAUUAAACGUAAACCAGCCAAGCCCCAUGUGAAAUAAAAUACUGAAUUUGUAAAUUGAUGAGUGAGAGAAUUAACUGACCAAUAGUUUUGUACUUCAGCAAGAUAUAGAUGACAACAUUCUAUGAAAAGAAAUCGCACUGUCCUACAGAGCAAGCCCAAGAAGCAAAACCCAAGACACAUCUUUCAAAAAGCCCAUGAAGAAUUAUAAGCCCCAAAAACCCAAAGCCCUGUAAACCCCAUGUAAAAUAAAUCUGUAAUAAAAGAGAGGGGCGGCCCAAAGGACCAACAAAAGGAGCACCAAUAAAUAAGCAACACAUCAAUUAUUUGGGCCCGCGUGGGAACAUUGAAGAAGAAGCUCAA
rnacentral:lncRNA from 1 species